rnacentral:rRNA from 1 species
UACGGAGGGGGCUAGCGUUGUUCGGAAUUACUGGGCGUAAAGGGCGCGUAGGCGGCCUGCUAAGUCGAACGUGAAAUCCCCGGGCUCAACCCGGGAACUGCGUCCGAUACUGGCAGGCUUGAGUGCGGCAGAGGGGGAUGGAAUUCCGCGUGUAGCAGUGAAAUGCGUAGAUAUGCGGAGGAACACCGAUGGCGAAGGCAAUCCCCCUGGGCCUGCACUGACGCUCAUGCACGAAAGCGUGGGAGCAAACAGG